rnacentral:rRNA from 1 species
UACGUAGGGGGCCAGCGUUGCUCGGAAUUACUGGGCGUAAAGGGUUCGUAGGUGGUGCGGCAAGUUGGGAGUGAAAUCUCUGGGCUUAACCCAGAGGCUGCUUUCAAAACUGCCGUGCUCGAGUGCGAGAGGGGUCAGUGGAAUUGCAGGUGUAGCGGUGAAAUGCGUAGAUAUCUGCAGGAACACCCGUGGCGAAGGCGGCUGACUGGAACGGUACUGACGCUGAGGAGCGAAAGCGUGGGGAGCAAACAGG